rnacentral:rRNA from 1 species
ACGGGGGAUGCGAGCGUUAUCCGGAUUUAUUGGGUUUAAAGGGUGCGUAGGCGGCGAAUUAAGUCAGCGGUGAAAGACCGGGGCUCAACCCUGGAAGUGCCGUUGAUACUGAUUGGCUAGAAUACCCUUGCCGUGGGAGGAAUGAGUGGUGUAGCGGUGAAAUGCAUAGAUAUCACUCAGAACACCGAUUGCGAAGGCAUCUCACGAAGGGGCGAUUGACGCUGAGGCACGAAAGCGUGGGGAUCGAACAG